rnacentral:tRNA from 1 species
GAGCCCGCCUGGGGAAACGAUAACUGCUAAUUACUCGCUACUAUGGUUCAAUUCCAUAGCAGGCUUG